rnacentral:rRNA from 1 species
UACGUAGGGGGCUAGCGUUGUCCGGAAUCAUUGGGCGUAAAGCGCGCGUAGGCGGCCCGGUAAGUCCGCUGUGAAAGUCAAAGGCUCAACCUUUGAAUGUCAGCGGAUACUGCCGGGCUAGAGUCCGGAAGAGGCGAGUGGAACUCCUGGUGUAGCGGUGGAAUGCGCAGAUAUCAGGAAGAACACCAACGGCGAAAGCACUCUGCUGGGCCGACACUGACACUGAGAGACGAAAGCUAGGGGAGCGAAUGGG